GACAGAGUCGCACACUGCUAAGCCAGCAUGGUCUGUGAUUUUAUCAGCUGUGGAUUGAUUCCUGGCUACCUGAUGUGCAGAAUCUCAGUUCUGCAGUAUGCUUGUGUUAGAAGAUAUGGGCAGCUUUAGGAUUUCAUUGUUGAGAAUGUUUACUGUUCUGGAUGAAAAAGUCUUAAAGGACCUGACUCAAAGUUUGUCCUCCCACUGCUAUAAAGCUGAAAGAGAUAAUUCCCAAAUAAUAAAACCGUACACUCAGAUUUCAAUAGAGCACGCAUGCUUUUUCCAUCUGGUCCUUGUACCAACUAACAGGGGUGAAAAGCCAUCAUCAGCAAAUGAUGUGAAACACAUCAUUUAGUCACACAUAAUUUCUUUUCUGUUUAAUACCAGAGGACAUAUGAUUUUGUAAAUAUUUCUAUGGGGUCUUAGAGCCACCUAUAUAAAAAUAGAAUCAUAUUCAAUAAUGGCAGAUCACCAACACAAAAGCGUGUUCAUGUUAAAAUGGAAUGUAGCAACA
rnacentral:lncRNA from 1 species